CCUACGUGAGGCAGCAGUGAGGAAUAUUGGUCAAUGGCCGGAAGGCUGAACCAGCCAAGCCGCGUGAAGGACGAAGGUGCCAAGCAUUGUAAACUUCUUUUGUCAAGGGACAAAAUCAGGCUCGAGAGCCUGACCGAGGGUACUUGAAGAAACAGCAUCGGCUAACUCCGUGCCAGCAGCCGCGGUAAUACGGAGGAUGCGAGCGUUAUCCGGAUUUAUUGGGUUGAAAGGGUGAGUAGGCGGCGUGUUAAGUCAGCGGGAAAAGCCCGGGGCGCAACCCCGGCGAGCCUGUGAAACGGGCUGUCUUGAGAUGUCGAAGGGUAUGCGGAAUGCGCAGUGUAGUGGUGAAAUGCUUAGAUAUUGCGCAGAACUCCGAUUGCGAAGGCAGAAUACCGGCGGCGAUCUGACGCUGAGGCACGAAAGCGUGGGUAUCGAACAGGAUUAGAUACCCCAGUAGUC
rnacentral:rRNA from 1 species